UACGAAGGGGGCUAGCGUUGUUCGGAUUUACUGGGCGUAAAGCGCACGUAGGCGGUUUGUUAAGUCAGGGGUGAAAUCCCAGAGCUCAACUCUGGAACUGCCUUUGAUACUGGCAAGCUAGAGUCCGGAAGAGGUAAGUGGAACUCCUAGUGUAGAGGUGGAAUUCGUAGAUAUUAGGAAGAACACCAGUGGCGAAGGCGGCUUCCUGGUCUGCGACUGACGCUGUGGCGCGAAAGCUAGGGGAGCGAACGGG
rnacentral:rRNA from 1 species